CCUGUCCCUGGAAGCAAUGCAGGUGUGGCUGCAGUGUCACAUGUGCAUCAGCAGUUGGCAGAGAGGAGAGAAGCUGUGUCUAUGCUUAGUGUCCUGACCUGUGAAUGUCUGAAUGAUUAGUAACCUAGUAAU